rnacentral:rRNA from 1 species
CCCCCCAGAUGUGACACAGAGNGGUCCNGGUCAGGNUGAACGUUAGUACAGGCUAACACANGCAAGUCGAGGGCAGCAUGAUNUAAGCUUGCUUAGAUUGAUGGCGACCGGCGCACGGGUGAGUAACGNGUAUCCAACCUUCCUUAUAGUAGAGGAUAGCCCGGCGAAAGUCGGAUUAAUACUCUAUGUUUUCCAAUGCAGACAUCUAAGUUGGAACAAAGGUUUACCGCUAUAGGAUGGGGAUGCGUCUGAUUAGAUAGUAGGCGGGGUAACGGCCCACCUAGUCGACGAUCAGUAGGGGUUCUGAGAGGAAGGUCCCCCACAUUGGAACUGAGACACGGUCCAAACUCMUACGGGAGGCAGCAGUGAGGAAUAUUGGUCAAUGGGCGAGAGCCUGAACCAGCCAANUAACGUGCAGGAUGACGGCCUAUGGGUUGUUAACUGCUUUUAUACCGGGAUAAAUNAAGGACUUUCCCUUAUUGUAGUUCCGUAUGAUAAGACGNUAUUCCGUGCCACAGCCGCGUAUACGAAGUCCGGCUUUCCGAUUNUGGUUUAAGGACCNGNUAUNUAACUUANNAAUUUCCCCCCGUACU